rnacentral:rRNA from 1 species
AUUGAACGCUGGCGGCAUGCCUUACACAUGCAAGUCGAACGGCAGCGCGGGGCAACCUGGCGGCGAGUGGCGAACGGGUGAGUAACAUAUCGGAACAUACCCUAGAGUGGGGAUAACGUAGCGAAAGUUACGCUAAUACCGCAUACGCACUAAGGUGGAAAGUGGGGGAUUCGCAAGAACCUCAUGCUCAUGGAGUGGCCGAUAUCUGAUUAGCUAGUUGGUGAGGUAAAGGCUCACCAAGGCGACGAUCAGUAGCUGGUUUGAGAGAACGACCAGCCACACUGGAACUGAGACACGGUCCAGACUCCUACGGGAGGCAGCAGUGGGGAAUUUUGGACAAUGGGGGCGAACCCUGAUCCAGCAAUGCCGCGUGAGUGAAGAAGGCCUCGGUUGUAA